rnacentral:rRNA from 1 species
ACUGACAUUGAGGCUCGAAAGUGUGGGUAUCAAACAGGAUUAGAUACCCUGGUAGUCCACACGGUAAACGAUGAAUACUCGCUGUUUGCGAUAUACUGCAAGCGGCCAAGCGAAAGCGUUAAGUAUUCCACCUGGGGAGUACGCCGGCAACGGUGAAACUCAAAGGAAUUGACGGGGGCCCGCACAAGCGGAGGAACAUGUGGUUUAAUUCGAUGAUACGCGAGGAACCUUACCCGGGCUUAAAUUGCAGAUGAAUUACGGUGAAAGCCGUAAGCCGCAAGGCAUCUGUGAAGGUGCUGCAUGGUUGUCGUCAGCUCGUGCCGUGAGGUGUCGGCUUAAGUGCCAUAACGAGCGCAACCCUUGUUGUCAGUUACUAACAGGUUCCGCUGAGGACUCUGACAAGACUGCCAUCGUAAGAUGUGAGGAAGGUGGGGAUGACGUCAAAUCAGCACGGCCCUUACGUCCGGGGCUACACACGUGUUACAAUGGGGGGUACAGAGGGCCGCUACCACGCGAGUGGAUGCCAAUCCCAAAAACCUCUCUCAGUUCGGACUGGAGUCUGCAACCCGACUCCACGAAGCUGGAUUCGCUAGUAAUCGCGCAUCAGCCACGGCGCGGUGAAUACGUUCCCGGGCCUUGUACACACCGCCCGUCAAGCCAUGGGAGCCGGGGGUACAAGAAGUGCGUAACCGCGAGGAGCGCCCUAGGGUAAAACUGGUAA